GAUGAACGCUGGCGGCGUGCCUAAUACAUGCAAGUCGAGCGAACGGACGAGAAGCUUGCUUCUCCGAUGUUAGCGGCGGACGGGUGAGUAACACGUGGAUAACCUACCUAUAAGACUGGGAUAACUUCGGGAAACCGUAGCUAAUACCGGAUAAUAUUUUGAACCGCAUGGUUCAAAAGUGAAAGACGGUCUUGCUGUCACUUAUAGAUGGAUCCGCGCUGCAUUAGCUAGUUGGUAAGGUAACGGCUUACCAAGGCAACGAUGCAUAGCCGACCUGAGAGGGUGAUCGGCCACACUGGAACUGAGACACGGUCCAGACUCCUACGGGAGGCAGCAGUAGGGAAUCUUCCGCAAAGGGCGAAAGCCUGACGGAGCAACGCCGCGUGAGUGAUGAAGGUCUUCGGAUCGUAAAACUCUGUUAUUAGGGAAGAACAUAUGUGUAAGUAACUGUGCACAUCUUGACGGUACCUAAUCAGAAAGCCACGGCUAACUACGUG
rnacentral:rRNA from 1 species